AUUGAACGCUGGCGGCAGGCCUAACACAUGCAAGUCGAACGAGUGGCGGACGGGUGAGUAAUGUCUGGGAAACUGCCCGAUGGAGGGGGAUAACUACUGGAAACGGUAGCUAAUACCGCAUACCAUCAGAUUUGCCCAGAUGGGAUUAGCUGGUUGGGGGGGUAACGGCUCACCAAGGCGACGAUCCCUAGCUGGUCUGAGAGGAGGACCAGCCACGCGGGAACUGAGACAGGGUCCAGACUCCCAGGGGAGGCAGCAGUGGGGAAUAUUGCAAAGUGGGAGAAAGCCUGAUGCAGCCAUGCCGCGUGUAUGAAGGAGGCCUUCGGGUUGUAAAGUACUUUCAGCGGGGAGGCGUUACCCGAAGAAGAAGCACCGGCUAACUCCGUGCAAGCAGCCGCGUAAUUC
rnacentral:rRNA from 1 species